UGGGUUGUGGAUUCAGGUGCGUCCUUCCACAUCACAUCACACAAGGAGUAUUUCACAUCUUACACUAGUGGUGUUACUGGCCAAGUGAGGAUGGGAAAUAGUGGUUCGUCAGCAAUUGUUGGCAAGGGCUCUAUAUGCAUUGAAACAAACACAGGUUGCAGAUUGGUGCUCGAUGAUGUGAGGCAUGUUCCCGACAUAAGGCUGAAUUUGUUGUCAGUGGGCAAGCUUGAUGAUAUCAAAUAUCCUAGUUAUUUUGGUGAAGGAAAAUGGAAGCUCACUAAAGGCUCUUUGAUUGUGGCUCGAGGAAGUAAGCAAGGUAAUCUCUAUGUGACUAAAACCAAGUUGUGCAAUGAGGUGUUGAACGUUGCUGAAAAAGACACUUCGGUUGAAUUGUGGCACAAGAGGCUUCGGCAUAUGAGUGAGAAGGGC
rnacentral:rRNA from 1 species